CAUCUUCGUCUCUCUCUCUCUCUCUCUCUCUCUCUCUCUCUUACUCACUUUGAACCCCAGGGUCUUCACAGUAGACCCUCUCUCUCUCUCUCCAUUGAAGAUUUCUUGUGGGUUUGGUGCUGCGAGCAUUUGUGGGAGUUCUUGGAGGUUUGAGUUGCCGAUCGGCGUCUGUGGGUUUUAGGAAUUUUUCCUACGUUUUGUGCGAUUUUGGGUUGUUGCUGAGAAUCUCUCACAGCGCAUUGCCUUCAAAUAGAGGUGAGGACCUGCAGUCAAAGUGCUUGCUCGAGCUCUAUGGUCCAAAGGUCCAAGAUUUGAAGGAUAGUGAUAUGGAGUUAAAGUUAAUUUUGGAAAUGUAUAGAUGUGAAUUUACUGAUUCAAGGUUGCUCAAAUGAUGUGAUAUAUAUUAGUUUGUUUAGUGUUAUGAUGUCAAUGUUCUUAGAAGUUUGUAAGAUCUGGAGGGAUGUCAUGGAAGCCAGAGACUCAGAAUAUAAGGCUUGGGCCCAUGUUCAAACUUUGAAAUCCUCUCUUGAUGAGUGCAACUUGGAA